GAGCAAGAUCUAGCCCUAACACUCAAUAACCCAAAAUUUUAUCAUAAAUAAACCAAAACAUUUACUAAAAAGAAGUAUUGGAGAAAGAAACUUUCAAUAGGAGCUAUAGAGAUAGUACCGUAAGGGAAAGAUGAAAGAACCACUAAAAGCACAAAUAAGCAAAGAUUAAACCUUGUACCUUUUGCAUAAUGGAUUAACUAGAAAUAACCUAACUAAGAGUACUUUAGCUAGAAACCCCGAAACCAAACGAGCUACCUAAAAGCAACCUUAAGAGUGAACCCGUCUAUGUAGCAAAAUAGUGGGACGACUUUUAGGUAGAGGCGAAAAACCUAACGAGCUUGGUGAUAGCUGGUUACCCAAUAACGAAUUUUAGUUCGACUUUAAAUUUACCUAAAGAACACGAAUCUAAAUGUAAAUUUAAAUUAUAGCCUAAAGAGGGACAGCUCUUUAGGAAUGGAAACAACCUUUAAUAGUGAAUAAGCCUAUUAUUAUACUCACAUCAUUGUCGGCUUAAAAGCAGCCACCAACAAAGAAAGCGUUCAAGCUCAACAUUAAAAAUACUAAAAUACCAACAAUCUAUAGGCAACUUCCCAUAUUUACAAUUGGGUUAAUCUAUCAAUUUAUAGAAGCAAUACUGUUAAUAUGAGUAACAAGAAUUAUAUUCUCCAUGCACAAGCCUAUAACAACUCGGAUAACCAUUGUUAGUUAACAAACAUAUAAAUGACUAACUCACAUAUAAACCACAUUUAUAACAGCAUGUUAACCCAACACAGGAGUGCUUAAUGGAAAGAUUAAAAGAAAUAGAAGGAACUCGGCAAACACAAACCCCGCCUGUUUACCAAAAACAUCACCUCUAGCAUCACAAGUAUUAGAGGCACUGCCUGCCCAGUGACUAACGUUAAACGGCCGCGGUAUCCUGACCGUGCAAAGGUAGCAUAAUCAUUUGUUCCUUAAUUAGGGACUGGAAUGAACGGCUUGACGAGGGUUUAACUGUCUCCUAUUUCCAAUCAGUGAAAUUGACCUCCCCGUGAAGAGGCGGGGAUUACAAAAUAAGACGAGAAGACCCUAUGGAGCUUUAAUUUACUAGUUUAAUCCCAACAACAAACAACCUAUUGGCUUAACACACAAAAAUAUAAACUAGUAAUUUUGGUUGGGGUGACCUCGGAGCAUAAAAAAACCUCCGAAUGAUUUUAACCAAGACACACAAGUCUAAGUAACCAAAUAUCUUAUUGACCCAAAUUCCUUUUUGAUCAACGGACCAAGUUACCCUAGGGAUAACAGCGCAAUCCUAUUCAAGAGUCCAUAUCGACAAUUAGGGUUUACGACCUCGAUGUUGGAUCAGGACAUCCCAAUGGUGCAGAAGCUAUUAAUGGUUCGUUUGUUCAACGAUUAAAGUCCUACGUGAUCUGAGUUCAGACCGGAGUAAUCCAGGUCGGUUUCUAUCUAUUUACGAUUUCUCCCAGUACGAAAGGAUAAGAGAAAUGGAGCCUCCUUACAUAAAGCGCUCCCAACUAAUCUUUGAAGUAAUCUUAACUUUGUAAGCCCGUACAACCCAAUUCUAGACAAGAACAC
rnacentral:rRNA from 1 species